rnacentral:lncRNA from 1 species
UUAGUUGUAGUUUCGGGCUUAGUCAAGUGUGAUACAAACCCUAUAGUAGGAGUCCCCCAAGUCACCGAGCUAGGAGAUCUGCCGAAAGAGGUGACAGACAAGGUAAUCAGUCAAACUUCCAAGUAAGCAAUCCAGGAUCAGAGGUUUGACUUCGGCUUCCGGUUGAUUGUUCUUCUUCUCCUUGUCUCUCAUUCAACUGUCAGGAUAAGGAGAAGCAAAUGGAUAAGAGAUGAUAUGAGAUACUUU